AACGAACGCUGGCGGCAGGCCUAACACAUGCAAGUCGAACGCUGUAGCAAUACAGAGUGGCAGACGGGUGAGUAACGCGUGGGAACAUGCCCUUCGGUUCGGAAUAACUCAGGGAAACUUGAGCUAAUACCGGAUACGCCCUUAGGGGGAAAGAUUUAUUGCCGAAGGAUUGGCCCGCGUCCGAUUAGCUAGUUGGUGAGGUAAUGGCUCACCGAGGCGACGAUCGAUAGCUGGUCUGAGAGGAUGAUCAGCCACACUGGGACUGAGACACGGCCCAGACUCCUACGGGAGGCAGCAGUGGGGAAUAUUGGACAAUGGGCGCAAGCCUGAUCCAGCCAUGCCGCGUGAGUGAUGAAGGCCCUAGGGUUGUAAAGCCCUUUCGGCGGGGAAGAUAAUGACGGUACCCGCAGAAGAAGCCCCGGCUAACUUCGUGCCAGCCGCCGCGGUAAGAC
rnacentral:rRNA from 1 species